AACGAACGCUGGCGGCAGGCUUAACACAUGCAAGUCGAGCGCCCCGCAAGGGGAGCGGCAGACGGGUGAGUAACGCGUGGGAAUCUACCCAUCUCUACGGAAUAACGCAUGGAAACGUGUGCUAAUACCGUAUACGUCCUUCGGGAGAAAGAUUUAUCGGAGAUGGAUGAGCCCGCGUUGGAUUAGCUAGUUGGUGGGGUAAAGGCCUACCAAGGCGACGAUCCAUAGCUGGUCUGAGAGGAUGAUCAGCCACACUGGGACUGAGACACGGCCCAGACUCCUACGGGAGGCAGCAGUGGGGAAUAUUGGACAAUGGGCGCAAGCCUGAUCCAGCCAUGCCGCGUGAGUAAUGAAGGCCCUAGGGUUGUAAAGCUCUUUCACCGGUGAAGAUAAUGACGGUAACAGGAGAAGAAGCCCCGGCUAACUUCGUGCCAGCCGCCGCAGUAAUAC
rnacentral:rRNA from 1 species